CCUACGGGUGGCAGCAGUGAGGAAUAUUGGUCAAUGGACGAGAGUCUGAACCAGCCAAGUAGCGUGAAGGAUGACUGCCCUAUGGGUUGUAAACUUCUUUUAUAUGGGAAUAAAAUGUUCCACGUGUGGGAUUUUGUAUGUACCAUAUGAAUAAGGAUCGGCUAACUCCGUGCCAGCAGCCGCGGUAAUCCGGAGGAUCCGAGCGUUAUCCGGAUGUAUUGGGUUUAAAGGGGGCGUAGGUGGAUUGUUAAGUCAGUUGGGAAAGCUUGGGGCUCAACCGUAAAAUUGCAGUUGAAACUGGCAGGCUUGAGUACAGUAGAGGUAGGCGGAAUUCGUGGUGUAGCGGUGAAAUGCUUAGAUAUCACGAAGAACACCGAUUGCGAAGGCAGCUCACUGGACUGCAACUGACACUGAGGCUCGAAAGUGUGGGUAGCAAACAGGAUUAGAUACCCUAGUAGUC
rnacentral:rRNA from 1 species